CCUACGAGAGGCAGCAGUAGGUAAUCUUCCACAAUGGGCGAAAGCCUGAUGGCGCAACUCCGCGUGGGUGAAGAAGGUCUUCGGAUCGUAAAACCCUGUUGUUAGAGAAGAAAGUGCGUGAGAGUAACUGUUCACGUUUCGACGGUAUCUAACCAGAAAGCCACGGCUAACUACGUGCCAGCAGCCGCGGUAAUACUUAGGUGGCAAGCGUUAUCCGGAUGUAUUGGGAGUAAAGGGAACGCAGGCGGUCUUUUAAGUCUGAUGUGAAAGCCUUCGGCUUAACCGGAGUAGUGCAUUGGAAACUGGGAGACUUGAGUGCAGAAGAGGAGAGUGGAACUCGAUGUGUAGCGGUGAAAUGCGUAGAUAUAUGGAAGAACACCAGUGGCGAAAGCGGCUCUCUGGUCUGUAACUGACGCUGAGGUUCGAAAGCGUGGGUAGCAAACAGGAUUAGAUACCCCUGUAGUC
rnacentral:rRNA from 1 species